rnacentral:rRNA from 1 species
UACGGAGGAUGCAAGCGUUAUCCUGAUUUAUUGGGUUUAGAGGGUGCGCAGGUUGUUUGAUAAGUCAGUGGUGAAAGUCUGUCGCUUAACGGUAGGAUUGCCAUUGAUACUGUUGGACUUGAAUAUGGAUGAGGUAGGCGGAAUGUGUAGUGUAGCGGUGAAAUGCAUAGAUAUUACACAGAACACCGAUUGCGAAGGCAGCUUACUAAUCCAUCAUUGACGCUGAGGCACGAAAGCGUGGGGAU